GCAGAUCCGAGAGCUGCGGGCGGUGGCUCGUGCGCGUCUCGGGCGCGCGCGAGAGUUGGCUGACGGCCAAAAGAGGCACGUUCAAAUCCUUGGCGAUCUGCU
rnacentral:tRNA from 1 species